rnacentral:rRNA from 1 species
UACGGGGGGGGCAAGCGUUGUUCGGAAUUACUGGGCGUAAAGGGCUCGUAGGCGGCCAACUAAGUCGGACGUGAAAUCCCUCGGCUCAACCGGGGAACUGCGUCCGAUACUGGAUGGCUUGAAUCCGGGAGAGGGAUGCGGAAUUCCAGGUGUAGCGGUGAAAUGCGUAGAUAUCUGGAGGAACACCGGUGGCGAAGGCGGCUUCCUGGACCGCCACUGACGCUGAGGCGCGAAAGCUAGGGGAGCAAACGGG